rnacentral:rRNA from 1 species
CCUACGGGUGGCAGCAGUGAGGAAUAUUGGUCAAUGGUCGGGAGACUGAACCAGCCAAGCCGCGUGAGGGAGGAAGGUACAGAGUAUCGUAAACUUCUUUUGUCAGGGAAUAACGACUGGGACGCGUCCCCGGAUGAGUGUACCUGAAGAAAAAGCAUCGGCUAACUCCGUGCCCGCAGCCGCGGUAAUACGGAGGAUGCGAGCGUUAAUCGGAAUCACUGGGCGUAAAGGGUGCGCAGGCGGGCUUGUAAGUCAGAUGUGAAAUCCUGUAGCUUAACUACAGAACUGCAUUUGAAACUAGGAGUCUAGAGUGUGGGAGAGGUAGGUGGAAUGCUUGGUGUAGGGGUAAAAUCCGUAGAUAUCAAGAGGAAUACUCAUUGCGAAGGCGACCUACUGGAACAUUACUGACGCUCAUGCACGAAAGCGUGGGUAGCAAACAGGAUUAGAUACCCGAGUAGUC